GGAAACCGGAGCUAAUACCGGAUAAUAUUUUGAACCGCAUGGUUCAAAAGUGAAAGACGGUCUUGCUGUCACUUAUAGAUGGAUCCGCGCUGUAUUAGCUAGUUGGUGAGGUAAAGGCUCACCAAGGCGACGAUACAUAGCCGACCUGAGAGGGUGAUCGGCCACACUGGAACUGAGACACGGUCCAG
rnacentral:rRNA from 1 species